UACGAAGGGGGCUAGCGUUGUUCGGAAUUACUGGGCGUAUAGCGCACGUAGGCGGGUCGUUAAGUCAGGGGUGAAAUCCCGGAGCUCAACUCCGGAACUGCUUUUGAUACUGGCGAUCUUGAGAUCGGAAGAGGUGAGCGGAAUUCCCAGUGUAGAGGUGAAAUUCGUAGAUAUUGGGAAGAACACCAGUGGCGAAGGCGGCUCACUGGUCCGAUACUGACGCUGAGGUGCGAAAGCGUGGGGAGCAAACAGG
rnacentral:rRNA from 1 species